rnacentral:rRNA from 1 species
GACGAACGCUGGCGGCGUGCUUAACACAUGCAAGUCGAACGAAGUGGCGAACGGGUGAGUAAUACGUGGGUAACCUGCCCUCCUUUUUGGGAUAAGCCUUGGAAACGGGGUCUAAUACCGAAUAAAGGGGGAUGGGCUCGCGGCCUAUCAGCUUGUUGGUGGGGUGAUGGACUACCAAGGCGGUGACGGGUAGCCGGCCUGAGAGGGUGACCGGCCACACUGGGACUGAGACACGGCCCAAACUCCUACGGGAGGCAGCAGUAGGGAAUCUUCCGCAAUGGACGCAAGGCUGACGGAGCAACGCCGCGUGUAUGAAGAAGGCCUUAGGGUUGUAAAGUACUUUCAGCGGGGAGGCGGUACCCGCAGAAGAAGCACCGGCUAACUCCGUGCCAGCAGCCGCGGUAAUAC